UGCCAUUACAAGAAGGAAACAAAAAGUGUGGCACUAUCAUUCUGUCAUGUGAAGAAAUGAGUUCAUGCAAGGACAAUGCUACUUUAAAGUUUCAGGGAAGAAAACUUGACAAAAAAGAUUUUUUCGGAAAGUCAGAUCCAUAUUUGGUUUUUUAUCGAUGCAAUGAAGAUGAAAGGUAUUUAAUAAUACAAAAGAAUAUGGAGUCAAGUAAUUAUAGAAUUAAGAAACUUCUUUAUUAUCAUUACUAUUAUGAUUUGACUCACUUUUUUAGAUUUUUUACUAUUUUAACAAACUCCUGUAGCUCAUACAAGUUAGAGUAGCAGAAUCAAGCAGGAUGGUAGUAUGCUUUAAAUAUUUUUUUCUUAUCAUUGUAACUAUCAUCAUUAGUGGCUGAGGCCAUCGACACUGCCACAGUGUGAAAAAAGCUGCUGUUCUUUCUAUCGCAACUGCCACAGUGCAAAAAAAAUUUGCUGUUUUCUAUCAGCACAGCAGCAGUGCAAAAAAGCUGCUGUUUUCUCCAAAAACUGCAGUUUUCUAUUGUCAAAGCAAAUGCACCCUAGCCCCUUAAAGUGUUAACAACUUGUACAGUAUAUUUAUUUAUUUAUUUAUUCUGUCUUUCUACUGCAUGCACUUUCAGUACUUGUGUACUGUUUUUCAAAGUGGUACAGUUUCAUAAAAUACAAAAGU